AGCGAACGCUGGCGGCAGGCCUAACACAUGCAAGUCGAACGAACUCUUCGGAGUUAGUGGCGGACGGGUGAGUAACACGUGGGAACGUGCCUUUAGGUUCGGAAUAACUCUGGGAAACGUGUGCUAAUACCGAAUGUGCCCUUCGGGUGAAAGAUUGAUCACCUUGAUAGCGGCCUGCGUCCUAUUAGCUAGUUGGUAAUGUAAAGGCUCACCAAGGCGACGCUCAGUGGCUGGUCCUAGGGGAUGAUCAGCCACACUGGGACGGGGACCAGGCCCAAACUCCUGCGGGAGGGAGCAGUGGGGAACCUGGCGCAACGGGUGAAAGCCUGACGCAGCCAGGUCGUGUGAAUGAUUAGUGGCGUAGGAUUGUAAAAUUCUUUCACCGGGGACGAUAAUGACGUUACCAGAAGAAGAAGCCCGGGCUAAUUUCGU
rnacentral:rRNA from 1 species